rnacentral:rRNA from 1 species
CCCUUAGAUGUUCUGGGCUGCACGCGCGCUACACUGAUGCGCUCAACGAGUUUUAACCUUGCCUGGAAAGGUUGGGUAAUCUUUUUAAAACGCAUCGUGAUGGGGAUAGAUUAUUGCAAUUAUUAAUCUUCAACGAGGAAUUCCUAGUAAGCGCGAGCCAUCAGCUCGUGCUGAUUACGUCCCUGCCCUUUGUACACACCGCCCGUCGCUCCUACCGAUUGAGCGAUCCGGUGAAUAAUUCGGACUGCGGCAUUGACCGGUUCCCGAUCGUUGCUGCGGAAAGUUUAGUGAACCUUAUCACUUAGAGGAAGGAGAAGUCGUAACA